AUGGCUCCCGUCGCCGGUCGUCGGCAUCCACGGUCGGAGGAGGAGGCAGAAUUUGCAGCAGCCGUCGCCGCCGGACAGGAUGGCGACGAGGAGCCAUCUGUGGAGGUGGCGUUCGCGGGCCAGCCGCCGCCGCCGUGGUGGCGGCAGGUCACGGCGCGGUCGGUGGCUGUGAGUGCGGUGCUGGGCGCCGUGCUGAGCUUCAUGUCGAUGCGGAUCGGGCUGACGGCCGGCGUCGGCCCGACGUUCAACAUCGUGGCGAGCCUCCUCGGCUUCUUCGUGAUCAAGUCGUGGACGCGGCUGCUGGCCCGCUUCGGCGUCGCCUCCCAGCCCUUCACCAGGCAGGAGAACGUCGUCCUCCAGACCUGCGUCAUCUCCUGCUCCACCCUCUCCUUCUACGGUACCGUACGUCCGCCCGUCCACGCAGCCGCGCACGCACACGGCCAUUUCCACCAGGUUUUUUGCUCAGCCGGCGGCCGUGAUUUGCCAUUUGCAGGUGGUUUCACGACCUACCUACUCGCGAUGACCGAGACGGUGGCCAAGUCCGCCGGCGGGACCGGCACCGGCAAGGACGUGUACACGCUGCACACCGGGAACGUGGUGGCUUUCCUCGGCCUCGUCACCUUCGCCAGCUUGUUCUGCACCCUCCCGCUGCGGAAGGUGAAGUUUCCGACCAAGAGUCACCACCAUUUCCAUGUCUUUGCUAUGAAAAAACUGAGACAUUUCGCCAUUGUUUGGCAGCUCAUGAUACUGGACUACAAACUGAUGUAUCCAUCUGGUUCGGCUAUCGCCGGAAUCGUCAACAGCUUCCAUACACCAGCGGGAGCCGCAACAGCAAAGAAGCAAGUGAUGGCCAUGUCCAAAGCCAUUGUUGGAAGCUUCAUGUGGGCAUCCUUCCAGUGGGUUUACACGGGAGGAAGCGGCUGCGGCUUCCAAGAUUUUCCCAUGUUCGGAUUGAAGGCAUAUAAGCAGAAGUUUUACUUUGAUUUCUCCGCGAGUCUCGUCGGCGUGGGCAUGAUCUGCCCUGUCCUCAUCAACUUCUCCAUGCUUUUCGGGUCUAUCAUUACCUCCUUCAUCCUGUGGCCAACCCUCCAGAGCAAGAAAGGGGACUGGUACAACGAUCCUUCGCCGACAAAUUUCAGGGGAAUCAAUGGAUACAAGGUGCCCAUGGGCAUAUCGAUGGUGCUUGGGGAUUGUCUGUUCCAACUGGGUUCAAUCACCAUAAGGGCUGCCAACCACUUCCACAAGAAUCGCCAGCAACGGAAUCCAGGCAGUACCAACAUACCAGCCGAUGGAAAUUCAGAUAAACAAACAGCUCUUAGCUAUGAUGAGCGUCGGAGGAACAAGAUCUUUCUGAACGAAGGACUGCCGGACUAUGUCUCGGUUGCUGGCUACAUCCUCCUCGCAGCCGUCUCAGCAAUCUUUGUUCCACGUAUCUUCCCACAGAUCCGAUAUUACCAUGUGGCCUUAUUAUACGCUGUCGCUCCCAUCCUGGCAUUCUGCAAUUCAUAUGCUUCUGGACUGUGUGACUGGUCCCUGGCACCCGUCUACGCGAAGCUUGCUAUAUUCCUUGUUGGGGCAUGGGUUGGUGAAGCAUCUGGUGGCGCCAUUGCCGGUCUUGCUGCCUGUGGUGUCAUGUUGAUGAUCAUUGGCAAUGCCGCUGAGCUCAUGCAUGACUUCAAGACAGGAUACCUAACACUCACCUCGCCACUGUCCAUGUUCAUAAGCCAAGCAAUUGGGACUGCACUUGGUUGCUUGAUCAACCCGCUUGUCUUCCUGUCCUUCGAAAAACUUGUCGGCAAAGAGCAUCUGGGGGAAGCUGGAUCGGUAUUCUCGGCUCCCUUGGCCACCGCAUACCGUGGGCUCGCAGUUUUAAGUGUUGAAGGAACCAAGAUACUCCCAAGGCACUCCAUUGAGUUCUGUGUAGCUUUCUUCCUUAUGGCCUUUUGCCUGGAUUGCCUGUCAGCAGUAGCCAAAGCAAAGAAGUGGAAGGCAAGUAACUACAUUCCAAACGCCAUGGCUAUGGCAAUUCCAUUCUUAAUUGCACCGAAUAUUGCAAUAGACAUGGCCUUGGGGAGUCUACUGUUAGUUAUCUGGAAGAAAACAGAUAAGAAAAACGCAAAUAAGCUUGCAGUUGUAGUAGCAUCAGGUUUGAUCUGUGGAGAUGGACUUUGGGCAUUGCCAUCAGCACUACUUUCAAUUUUCCAAAUCGAGCCACCCAUCUGCAUGAAGUUCUUGUCUAGUCAUCAGAUGAAGGUAGUGCGGACUUCCUACCCAAAGUGA
rnacentral:rRNA from 1 species